AUGAUGUCACAUACAUAGCGAGUCCACAACGUCUUAAAAUUGUUUCUAUAAAGUACAGUGGUCCAGUGAAUGGGAAAGUUCUGGCGUUGAUCCUUACUGUUCUUAGGAAGGAGAAAUGUCAGUUUGUCUGCAGUAAUACUGUGACAUUGGAUUAAAACAAUACUCUGUCCUUGGUGAAA